UACGAGUGGUGCAAGCAUUAUUCGGAAUCAUUGGGCGUAAAGGGUGCGUAGGUGGCACAUUAAGUUUACUGUUAAAUCUCUCGGCCUAACCGGGAAAUCGCAGUGGAGACUGGUGAGCUAGAGGAUGGGAGAGAGAAGUGGAAUUCUCGGAGUAGCGGUAAAAUGCGUAGAUCUCGAGAGGAACACCGAAGGCGAAAGCAGCUUCUUGGACCAAUCCUGACACUGAUGCACGAAAGCGUGGGGAGCAAACAGG
rnacentral:rRNA from 1 species